rnacentral:rRNA from 1 species
UACGGAGGGUGCAAGCGUUAUCCGGAUUCACUGGGUUUAAAGGGUGCGUAGGUGGGCAGGUAAGUCAGUUGUGAAAUCUCCGGGCUUAACCCGGAAACUGCCAUUGAUACUAUCUGUCUUGAAUACCGUGGAGGUGAGCGGAAUAUGUCAUGUAGCGGUGAAAUGCUUAGAUAUGACAUAGAACACCAAUUGCGAAGGCAGCUCACUACACGAAUAUUGACACUGAGGCACGAAAGCGUGGGGAUCAAACAGG